GGACAGUCCAAAGACAUGCAGUUAGCGGGCCCUUUGACAGACAGCGAAUCCCUCCAGAGUGUACCCUGCUUCUCACCCUAAGACAGCUGGGAUAGGCUCCAGCGCCCCGGGUAACCCUGAAAAGGAUAAGCGGAAGCGAAUGGAUGGAUGGAGAUAUAAAACAGAAUUGAAUUCCUUUUAGUUAGUAAAAACCUAUCUCAAUCAGCUCAUCAAAAGAGUGAACCUAAAUUCAACUCGAAGCAGAAGAAGAAGUUCCACUAUCAUCUUUCAAGCAAGGAGACAUUUGCAAAAAUCACAGCGCGCAUCCUAAAGAGAAUGAAGCAGGAUAAAUUGGCUGACCGUAUGUUAAGCAGAUCUCCCAGUGGACUUUGCCGGCACAAACUCAAAUCUAAGUUGAAGAAGAAGUUCCAGUGUGUGUUUGAGGGCAUCGCUAAAGCAGGAAACCCAACCC